rnacentral:rRNA from 1 species
GGCUUUUUGAGAAUAAUUUAAGGUCUGACCUGCCCAAUGAUUGAGUAUUAAAUGGCCGCGGUAUUUUGACCGUGCAAAGGUAGCAUAAUCAUUAGUUUUUUAAUUGAAAGCUUGUAUGAAGGGUUUAAUGAAAAAAUAGCUGUCUCUGUUUGAGUUUUUUAGAAAUUUAUUUUUAAGUUAAAAAGCUUAAAUGUGUAUUAAAGACGAGAAGACCCUAUAGAGUUUAAUAAUUUUAUAGGAUUGUUAUAUUUAGUAUUUUUUAAUAAUUUUUUAGAAUUAUUUGGUUGGGGUGAUCGGAAAAUUAAUAAAACUUUUUUAUGUGAAAUUUCAUUUAUUUAUGGAUUUUUGAUCUUUAUUAAAGAUUAUUAGAUAAAAUUACCUUAGGGAUAACAGCGUAAUUUUUUUUAGAGUUCUUAUCGAAUAAAAAGGUUGCGACCUCGAUGUUGGAUUAAAAUUAAUUAUUGGCGAAGAAGUUAAUAAAUUAGGUCUGUUCGACCUUUAGAUUUUUACAUGAUCUGAGUUUAAACCGGUGUGAG